rnacentral:lncRNA from 1 species
CAUUGCUGCUUUUGCUCAUGCAUUUCCUCAUGGCCCAGGACUACAAUCAAGCUCUUUGAAACAGGUCAUGAGCUUCCCCAAGAAGCCACAGUAUGAAUGGUGAAGGGAGAUGGGAGGUGGGGUAGAAGGAAUGCGAGUCUCUCAGUCAAAUAUAAUCAGGAUCUUUCUUCUUUUGCUAACGCUCUGUCCUUACUUGGGUUAAAAAGGUGCUACCACUUUAUUUCAUGCCAUAUCUAUUCAGAGGAUGGGAUGUUACAGCAAAAUGAAGAAUCUGCCUUAAACAAAUGAAGAGGUGCUAUUGAGGCCUCACUGCCAGUUGCCCCUGAUGGUGCUACUACCCCACUGACCCAGGUCUCUACGCCGAGCCCUCUCCUAGAGUGACCUCACCUCACCGUCAAUGAAGCCCUCCAUGUUGCCAUGAGCUGCAUUUUCCUGGUCCAGGCCCCAAACACCAGGAACUGUCUGGUUCUCCCGGCUUGACUCAGCCCAGCCCUACAAAGCAGGUGUGUGGGAAAGGCUUGUUUCCCAGUAAAGGCAAUACACUGCCAGUAGAUGAAAUAAUUAAAGCAUAUGACCUGUUAUUUAAGAA